rnacentral:rRNA from 1 species
GCAGCCGCCGCGGUAAUACGGAGGAUCCAAGCGUUAUCCGGAAUCAUUGGGUUUAAAGGGUCCGUAGGCGGUUUAGUAAGUCAGUGGUGAAAGCCCAUCGCUCAACGGUGGAACGGCCAUUGAUACUGCUGAACUUGAAUUAUUAGGAAGUAACUAGAAUAUGUAGUGUAGCGGUGAAAUGCUUAGAGAUUACAUGGAAUACCAGUUGCGAAGGCAGGUUACUACUAAUUGAUUGACGCUGAUGGACGAAAGCGUGGGGAGCGAACAGGAUUAGAUACCCCCGUAGUCCCUGUCUCUUAUAC